AAUCAACGCUGGCGGCGCGCUUAACACAUGCAAGUCGAGCGAGAAAGGGGAGCAAUCCCUGAGUACAGCGGCGUACGGGUGAGUAACACGUGGAUAAUCUACCUUCUAGUGGGGAAUAACCCUGGGAAACCGGGGCUAAUACCGCAUAAGCCUGUAAAGGGAAAGUCAGCAAUGCGCUGGAAGAGGAGUCCGCGGCCGAUUAGCUAGUUGGUGAGGUAACGGCCCACCAAGGCGACGAUCGGUAGCCGGCCUGAGAGGGCACACGGCCACACUGGCACUGAAACACGGGCCAGACUCCUACGGGAGGCAGCAGUGGGGAAUCUUGCACAAUGGAGGCAACUCUGAUGCAGCGACGCCGCGUGAGCGAUGAAGCCCUCGGGUGUAAGCUCUUCGGUCAGGAACGAUAAUGACGGUACCUGAAGAAGAAGACUGCGGCUAACUACGUGCCAGCAGCCGCAGU
rnacentral:rRNA from 1 species